GACGGAGGGUGCAAGCGUUGUUCGGAUUGACUGGGCGUAAAGGGCGUGUAGGCGGUUGGUCAAGUCUGGUGUGAAAGCCCGGGGCUUAACCCCGGAAGUGCGCUGGAAACUAGCCAGCUAGAGCGCGAGAGAGGAGGGUGGAAUUCCUGGUGUAGCGGUGAAAUGCGUAGAUAUCAUUUGGAACGCCAAUGGUGAAAACAGCUCGCUGGGAAUGAUCUGACACUGAGACGCGAAAGCCAGGGGAGCGAACGGG
rnacentral:rRNA from 1 species